rnacentral:tRNA from 2 species
GUUUAGAUAGCUUAAACUUAAAGUUUAGUAUUGAAGAUACUAUGAUGAUUAUAUAAUCUUUAAACA